rnacentral:misc_RNA from 1 species
AACUUUUGACAACGGAUCUCUUGGUUCUCGCAUCGAUGAAGAACGCAGCGAAAUGCGAUAAGUAAUGUGAUUUGCAGAUUUCAGUGAAUCAUCGAAUCUUUAAACGCACAUUGCGCCCUUUGGAAUUCCGAAGGGCAUGCCUUUUCGAGCGUCAUUGCAACCGUCAAGCUUUGCUUGGUAUUGUGCCUGCGUCUCCACUGUGGACGGGCCUUGAAUCGAUUGGCGGCUUAGCAGUUGGCUUCUAGCGUAGUAAGAUAUAUCUCGCUCAGAAAGCUCGACGCUGGCUUGACCCUCCAACCUUAGAGCAGUAAAGGUUGACCUCGGAUAAGGUAGGGAUACCCGCUGAACUUAAGCAUAUCAAUAAGCGGAGGCU